rnacentral:rRNA from 1 species
UGGGGAAUAUUGCACAAUGGGCGCAAGCCUGAUGCAGCCAUGCCGCGUGUAUGAAGAAGGCCUUCGGGUUGUAAAGUACUUUCAGCGGGGAGGAAGGCGAUGCGGUUAAUAACCGCGUCGAUUGACGUUACCCGCAGAAGAAGCACCGGCUAACUCCGUGCCAGCAGCCGCGGUAAUACGGAGGGUGCAAGCGUUAAUCGGAAUUACUGGGCGUAAAGCGCACGCAGGCGGUCUGUCAAGUCGGAUGUGAAAUCCCCGGGCCCAACCUGGGAACUGCAUCCGAAACUGGCAGGCUUGAGUCUCGUAGAGGGGGGUAGAAUUCCAGGUGUAGCGGUGAAAUGCGUAGAGAUCUGGAGGAAUACCGGUGGCGAAGGCGGCCUCCUGGACGAAGACUGACGCUCAGGUGCGAAAGCGUGGGGAGCAAACA